AAUAAAAAAAAUGGAAAAUUAGGUCUAAUAACCAAAAAAAAACGACAACUUUACCUUCUCCCCUUCUCUUAACGACUGCACCUAGAUGAAGAAAGAAUAACAAUCGAUUGGAGUCUGAUACAAAUGGAACACAUACCAGACAGAACUACAAUGAUCCUGAUCUAGCGAAACAAAGGGUAUAGAAGGACAAACCGUUUCAUAGGAGUAUCUAAAGACAGGAAACAAAAUGAAGCUGAAGCCGUGGUGGAAGAAAAUAUUGUGUUGCUGGGAAUCCAUUGAUCUAGCCCACCUACAAUUUGUUCUGGAUAUUACAUGUUCAAGUCCUCUUCCCGUUUCUUUGAGCUUCUCAUCUGGGAUGAGGGUGUAAUUCUGAAUUUUUCUCAAUGCUCCGGCGGGUAGAAGUCUUCCCUUACUUUCCAUACCAAGAAACCGAAGGUGUUAUAACAUUGGAAAGCAAUGUAGACGAAGAGGAAGGUAGUAUCACAAUAAAACAAUGUUUUAUCAGAGUGCUAUGUCACCAUUUGUAGGAAAUCAGCUAUUAUAUUUUGGUUUAAUAAUGGUUUGUAAAUGUAUGGUUUAGUGUUAAGAUUAAAUGUUUUGUCUUUUAAUUGUAUAGAACGAUACUUAGAUAACCAAUGAGCAAGUGGUUUAGUAAUGGUUUAAAAAUUGUAUGGUUUAUUACCAAAAAGAAAUCGUGUCUCAGUUUAAUUUAAUAAUAACAAAACUCUGUGUUAAAUAC